rnacentral:rRNA from 1 species
UGGCUCAGAUUGAACGCUGGCGGCAUGCUUUACACAUGCAAGUCGAACGGCAGCACAGAGAAGCUUGCUUCUUGGGUGGCGAGUGGCGAACGGGUGAGUAAUAUAUCGGAACGUACCGAGUAAUGGGGGAUAACUAAUCGAAAGAUUAGCUAAUACCGCAUAUUCUCUGAGGAGGAAAGCAGGGGACCUUCGGGCCUUGCGUUAUUCGAGCGGCCGAUAUCUGAUUAGCUAGUUGGUGGGGUAAAGGCCUACCAAGGCGACGAUCAGUAGCGGGUCUGAGAGGAUGAUCCGCCACACUGGGACUGAGACACGGCCCAGACUCCUACGGGAGGCAGCAGUGGGGAAUUUUGGACAAUGGGCGCAAGCCUGAUCCAGCAAUGCCGCGUGUGUGAUGAAAGGCCUUCGGGUUGUAAAGCACUUUUGGCGGGAACGAAAAGGACUGUGCCAAUACCACGGUUCGAUGACGGUACCCGCAGAAUAAGCACCGGCUAACUACGUGCCAGCAGCCGCGGUAAUACGUAGGUGCGGGCGUAAUCGGAAUAACUGGGCGUAAAGGGCACGCAGCGUGACUUAAGUGAGAUGUGAAGCUCCGGGCUUACCUGGGAAUUGCAUUUCAUACUGGGUCGCUAGAGUACUUUAGGGAGGGGUAGAAUUCCACGUGUACGGUGAAAUGCUAAAGAUGGGAGGAAAUACGAGGUAGCAGCUCCCUGGGAAUGUAUCUGACCCUCUAUGUGGCAAGCGUGGGGAGCCAACGAAUAAGAAUACCUG